rnacentral:rRNA from 1 species
GAUGAACGCUGGCGGCGUGCCUAAUACAUGCAAGUCGAGCGAACGGACGAGAAGCUUGCUUCUCUGAUGUUAGCGGCGGACGGGUGAGUAACACGUGGAUAACCUACCUAUAAGACUGGGAUAACUUCGGGAAACCGGAGCUAAUACCGGAUAAUAUUUUGAACCGCAUGGUUCAAAAGUGAAAGACGGUCUUGCUGUCACUUAUAGAUGGAUCCGCGCUGCAUUAGCUAGUUGGUAAGGUAACGGCUUACCAAGGCAACGAUGCAUAGCCGACCUGAGAGGGUGAUCGGCCACACUGGAACUGAGACACGGUCCAGACUCCUACGGGAGGCAGCAGUAGGGAAUCUUCCGCAAUGGGCGAAAGCCUGACGGAGCAACGCCGCGUGAGUGAUGAAGGUCUUCGGAUCGUAAAACUCUGUUAUUUGGGAAGAACAUAUGUGUAAGUAACUGUGCACAUCUUGACGGUACCUUAUCAGAAAGCCACGGGUGACUACGUG